rnacentral:rRNA from 1 species
GACGAACGCUGGCGGCGUGCUUAACACAUGCAAGUCGAACGGGAGGAAAAGAGAAGCUUGCUUCUUUUUGAAUCUAGUGGCAAACGGGUGAGUAACACGUAAACAACCUGCCUUCAGGAUGGGGACAACAGACGGAAACGACUGCUAAUACCGAAUGUGUUCCGGAGACCGCAUGAUUUCCGGAAGAAAGGAUGGCCUCUAUUUAUAAGCUAUCGCCUGAAGAGGGGUUUGCGUCUGAUUAGGCAGUUGGUGAGGUAACGGCCCACCAAACCUACGAUCAGUAGCCGGUCUGAGAGGAUGAACGGCCACACUGGAACUGAGACACGGUCCAGACUCCUACGGGAGGCAGCAGUGGGGAAUCUUCCGCAAUGGACGAAAGUCUGACGGAGCAACGCCGCGUGAGUGAUGACGGCCUUCGGGUUGUAAAGCUCUGUGAUCGGGGACGAAUGGCUGGUAUGCUAAUACCAUAUCAGAGUGACGGUAC